GCAGCAGUGAGGAAUAUUGGUCAAUGGACGCAAGUCUGAACCAGCCAUGCCGCGUGCAGGAUGACGGCUCUAUGAGUUGUAAACUGCUUUUGUACGAGGGUAAACGCAGAUACGUGUAUCUGUCUGAAAGUAUCGUACGAAUAAGGAUCGGCUAACUCCGUGCCAGCAGCCGCGGUAAUACGGAGGAUUCAAGCGUUAUCCGGAUUUAUUGGGUUUAAAGGGUGCGUAGGCGGUUUGAUAAGUUAGAGGUGAAAUCCCGGGGCUUAACUCCGGAACUGCCUCUAAUACUGUUAGACUAGAGAGUAGUUGCGGUAGGCGGAAUGUAUGGUGUAGCGGUGAAAUGCUUAGAGAUCAUACAGAACACCGAUUGCGAAGGCAGCUUACCAAACUAUAUCUGACGUUGAGGCACGAAAGCGUGGGGAGCAAACAGGAUUAGAUACCCUGGUAGUCCACGCAGUAAACGAUGAUAACUCGUUGUCGGCGAUACACAGUCGGUGACUAAGCGAAAGCGAUAAGUUAUCCACCUGGGGAGUACGUUCGCAAGAAUGAAACUCAAAGGAAUUGACGGGGGCCCGCACAAGCGGAGGAACAUGUGGUUUAAUUCGAUGAUACGCGAGGAACCUUACCCGGGCUUGAAAGUUACUGACGAUUCUGGAAACAGGAUUUCCCUUCGGGGCAGGAAACUAGGUGCUGCAUGGUUGUCGUCAGCUCGUGCCGUGAGGUGUCGGGUUAAGUCCCAUAACGAGCGCAACCCCUACCGUUAGUUGCCAUCAGGUCAAGCUGGGCACUCUGGCGGGACUGCCGGUGUAAGCCGAGAGGAAGGUGGGGAUGACGUCAAAUCAGCACGGCCCUUACGUCCGGGGCUACACACGUGUUACAAUGGUAGGUACAGAGGGUCGCUACUCCGUGAGGAGAUGCCAAUCUCGAAAGCCUAUCUCAGUUCGGAUUGGAGGCUGAAACCCGCCUCCAUGAAGUUGGAUUCGCUAGUAAUCGCG
rnacentral:rRNA from 1 species